rnacentral:rRNA from 1 species
GAUGAACGCUGGCGGCGUGCCUAAUACAUGCAAGUCGAGCGAACGGACGCGAAGCUUGCUUCUCUGAUGUUAGCGGCGGACGGGUGAGUAACACGUGGAUAACCUACCUAUAAGACUGGGAUAACCUCGGGAAACCGGAUCUAAUACCGGAUAAUAUUUUGCACCGCAUGGUUCAAAAGUGAAAGACGGUCUUGCUGUCACUUAUAGAUGGAUCCGCGCUGCAUUAGCUAGUUGGUAAGGUAACGGCUUAGCAGGGCAACGAUGCAUAGCCGACCGGAGAGGGUGGUCGGCCGCACGAGAGCUGAGACACGGUCCCGGGUCCUACGAGAGGGAGCAGUAGGGAAUCUUCCGCAAUGGGCGAGAGCCUGGCGGAGCGACGCCGCGUGAGUGAUGAAGAUCUUCGGAUCGUGAAACUCUGUUAUUAGGGAAAAACAUAUGUGUAAGUAACUGUGCACAUCGUGACGGUACCGAAUCAGGAAGCCACGGCUAACUACGUG